AAAUAUCCGUAACACCCCAAGAGAAAACAAUCUCAUGUCCACCAAUCAACGCUUAAUGAGCAGAAAAACCAGAUCACUUCUGCCCACUACUAAAGAAGCUCUAAUGCCAAAAGUUGUUGAAAAUGCGUCUGCAUUACCGGAAGCAGCACGGAUGAAAAAUUCGCUAAUCGACGUACAAAAGAUUCCGCUUAUACAAGCAGUCCUGGUGAUCACGUCAGAGUGCAAAAAGAUCAUAAAAGAUGGAUCGGAGGAGAGGUAGAAAAAAUGGUCAAUCCAAGAUCCGCUAUCAUUAAAAGUGGAGAGCAAGUAUUCCGGCGAAACACUAUUCAAGUCGCCCCAACAUUAGCAGACCUUCCUGUUUCCCAGAAAAGUUUUGUUGACUUUAAGUUCGACAAGUCACCUGCAGAAGUCCAUUCAUUGCCCCCACCUCCAGUAACUUCACCAGCUCUAAGACACACCUCACCAACAAAACUCUCCAAACCUUCUCCCAAACUUGUCGAAACCAAAUCGGGCCGCAUUGUCAGGCCACCUAAUAGACUGGACUUAUAAACUCUCUUUAAUUGUUUCUUGUAAUAUUGUAUGUUCUGUGUUUUUUUUUAUUUUUACAGGGGAAGAUGUCGCAUACGUCACACUUGUGCCUAUUGAACAUGUGACAGUUGUGUCUCUACACAGUCGGCAGUUACCUCCCGCGUAGUGUGUGAUCGUCCGUAGUCAAAUAAACAUGUCUGCAUCAAAAUUCCGAAGUUACCAAAAUCGGCCGAGUUAUCAGCUGCCUCAUCAGUGAAAGAAAAACCUGGUAUCGUUUAAGUUUUCUAACAGCUGGGACUUUUACUGUGAUGCAGUCCCGAAAAUGUCUUCCCACUCAGAACCAGAGUUGUCACACAAACACCAAGUCUGUUCUUUGGAGAUAAAUGCAUGAUUGAUGAUGAUGAAAGAGUUCCACCCUGAAAACGUUUUUCGGCUGCACUGUAACCAGUUGCAUGUAACAUCCCUGCCUCUGGUCCGUCGAAGAUUGACAUUCAACUAUGAGGACCAGCAGUGAUCGCUUAGUCGUGGUUUGAAACAUCUUGUGACGGGGCACACCCGCCGUUUCUUUUAUUUUUGCUGAUGGUAAGAAAACAUCCAAAGAGCCCCACAAAACUUGUAUCCAUGUUCUGCAAAGGCCCUUCAGACUGAUUAUGAAAUAUUCACUGAUGUCGUUUCAAGCGUCUUCCUGUUAGCUUAGAGUAAACGCUGAGCACAAAAGCUACUGUGUAUGAAAAGGAACUGCUGCUUUAAAAUAAGUUCAAGAAUUUGGUGUCAAGAAAUCAAAAAUUGUAAUACUUAAAAUAGUGACCAAGGUCAAAGGAAUUUAUUGUAUUACUGUUUUCUGCUUAAAUAUGUGAUUAGUAUGUAUUUUCUUUUGAAAUAAAAUCUAGCGGAGCAGAAGCCCUGGGACGAGGGAAAGGACGAUUGCUUUCCCUCAUCCCCUGAUGAGUAAAAGGUAAGUAACGCACAAGUCUUUUAUGUUAUCUUGAAGACUGUCGAGAUAAAUUGUAAUCCAUUUGUAAGACAUAGAUGGAGGCAGUAUUUUUUCUGCGGAUGAAUGUUUGCUAUAAAACAGAAAUAAUUUUGAAUGAAUCCUUUUUCCAA